rnacentral:lncRNA from 1 species
CAGGCCAUAAUUGAAAGAACUAACAGAACACUCAAAGCUCAAUUGGUUAAACAAAAAAAGGAAAAAUAGAGUAAGGAGUAUAACACUCCCCAGAUGCAACUUAAUCUAGCAUUCUAUUCUUUAAGUUUUUUAAACAUUUAUAGAAAUCAGACCACUACUUCUGCAGAACAUUUUACUGGUAAAAAGAACAGCCCACAUGAAGGAAAACUGAUUUGGUGGAAAGACAACAAAAAUAAAACAUGGGAAAUAGGGAAGGUGAUAACAUGGGGGAGAGGUUUUGUUUCACCAGGAAAAAAUCAGCUUCCAGUUUGGGUACUUAGAACUUACAGAAGAAGUUGCCAUCCACCAAGAAAGUGGAGCCGCCGACCUGGGCCCAGCUAAAGCAGCUGACACAGUUAGCUGAAAAAAGCCUGAAGAACACAAGAGUAACACAAACUCCAGAGAAUAUGCUGCUUGCAGCUUUAAUGAUUGUAUCAACGAUGUCUACAGGUACACCCAGCAGCUCCAGAGAGACAGUGACCAGUGAGAAUGGACCAUGACGACGAUGGUGGUUUUGUCAAAAAGAAAAGGGGGAUAUGCAGGGAAAAGAGAGAGAAAUCACACUGUUACUGUGUCUAUGUAGAAAGGGAAGACAUAAGAGAUUCCAUUUUGACCUGUAUCAAACAAUUGCUUUGCUGAGAUGUUGUUAAUCUGUAACUUUUCCCCAGCCACUUUGCCCCAACCUUGACCUCACAAAAACAUGUGUUGUAUAGAAUCAAGGUUUAAGGGAUCUAGGGCUGUGCAGGACAUGUCUUGUUAACAAAAUGUUUACAAGCAGUAUGCUUGGUAAAAGUCAUCGCCAUUCUCUAGUCUCGAUAAACCAGGGGGGCACAAUGCAGUGCAGAAAGCUGCAGGGACCUCUGCCCUGGAAAGCCGGGUAUUGUCCAAGGUUUCUCCCCAUGUGAUAGUCUGAAAUACAGCCUCGUGGGAUGAGAAAGACCUGACCGUACCCCAGCCCGACACCCGUGAAGGGUCUGUGCUGAGGUGGAUUAGUAAAAGAGGAAAGCCUCUUGCAGUUGAGAUAGAGGAAGGCCACUGUUUCCUGCCUGCCCCUGGGAACUGAAUGUCUCCGUAUAAAACCCGAUUGUACAUUUGUUCAAUUCUGAGAUAGGAGAAAAAUCGCCCUAUGGUGGGAGACGAGACAUGUUGGCAGCAAUGCUGCCCUGUUAUUCUUUAUUCCACUGAAAUGUUUGGGUGGAGAGAAACAUAAAUCUGGCCUACAUGCACAUCCAGGCAUAGUACCUCCCCUUGAACUUAAUUAUGACAUGGAUUCUUUUGCUCACAUUUUUUUUGGUACCUUCUCAUUAUCACCCUGCUGUCCUACUGCAUUCCUCUUGCUGAGAUAAUGAAAACAAUAAUCAAUAAAAACUGAGGGAACUCAGAGACUGGUGCUGGUGCAAGUCCUUGGUAUGCUGAGUGCCGG